rnacentral:rRNA from 1 species
CAGCAGCCGCGGUAAUACGUAGGUGGCAAGCGUUGUCCGGAAUUAUUGGGCGUAAAGCGCGCGCAGGCGGAUAGGUCAGUCUGUCUUAAAAGUUCGGGGCUUAACCCCGUGAUGGGAUGGAAACUGCCAAUCUAGAGUAUCGGAGAGGAAAGUGGAAUUCCUAGCGUAGCGGUGAAAUGCGUAGAUAUUAGGAAGAACACCAGUGGCGAAGGCGACUUUCUGGACGAAAACUGACGCUGAGGCGCGAAAGCCAGGGGAGCGAACGGGAUUAGAUACCCGCGUAGUCCCUGUCUCUUAUACA